rnacentral:rRNA from 1 species
UACGUAGGGUGCAAGCGUUGUCCGGAAUUAUUGGGCGUAAAGAGCUCGUAGGCGGUUUGUCGCGUCGGCUGUGAAAUCUCGGGGCUUAACUCCGAGCCUGCAGUCGAUACGGGCAGACUUGAGUUCGGUAGGGGAGACUGGAAUUCCUGGUGUAGCGGUGAAAUGCGCAGAUAUCAGGAGGAACACCGGUGGCGAAGGCGGGUCUCUGGGCCGAUACUGACGCUGAGGAGCGAAAGCGUGGGGAGCGAACAGG